AAGUCGUAACAAGGUUUCCGUAGGUGAACCUGCGGAAGGAUCAUUAACACGUAUCCAACGUUAAAACAACCCCGUGAACUUUCAGCUUGCUCCUGUAGCCCGUGAAAGCAGCAAUCCCUGGUAAAUCAUUGUUGACCAGCUUUUGAGUCAGGGACCUCUGCAGAUUGUGAUAUUUUAUAGCUACGGUUGAGCGAUUGCAUCUAGUGACCUGGCAUCCCCAAGUAAUCAGUGUUCUGAAAGUGUCAUUGAUUGUGUAAGGAUGGCGCAGUCACGAUCGCUGUAGGCCCACACGGCCGGCGACCGGGUCACCGGGCUCUGCUCCUUUACGACAGCUACAGUCUAACUUCGCCGCGCGUGAAAUUCGCACGGCACCAAAAACCGAACAACUGUUAACAAUGUGAUAUCUUGGUUCUC
rnacentral:misc_RNA from 1 species